rnacentral:lncRNA from 1 species
CGAAAGUCCAGGUUCUGCUGCUGGGAUUCAGCUGGUACCUGAGAAGCAGCGAGGGCCGCGUCUUCCAGUAAGUGUGCCGCCGGGCUGGAACUGAGGUUCCCAACACUUGCCCAUGCAGAGUAGGCUUUCACAAAGAGAAACUGCAGCCAUCUCCCUCUCCGCACUACUCGCUCUCUUUCUUCCCUUAAUACCUGUAUUCUUUCGGUGGGCUUUGGGGUGAGGUUGCAAAUGGACUCUUGGAUCCUGACAUCACUUCCACAGCAUUGGCAGGCCAGGCACCCUACUUGGAGCGUGGCCUUCCACUUUUGGAGCCAGAUAUCUAUUAGUUGCUGUUCAGGUUUAGAAAAGAAGCCUUAGACUUGAUUUAAAUUAUUCAAUAUCCCCUCCCCUUCCUCUUUGCUAGUAAUUAGAGAAAAUACAGAGUUGCAAUUCAGGCUGUGAACCGAGUGCCCUGGGGCAAGGGCAUUGUUUCUUACCUAUGAUUUGUUGCUCCUUCCAUUUCUUAUUCUUCCUACAUACUCUGUCUCUUUUUAGACCUAGGCUGCCUCCGCUGCCAUGUCUCAAGGAAUCCUUUCUCCGCCUGUGGGCCUGCUGUCUGAUGAGAAUAUGGUAGUCUCCCCAAUGUUUGAAUCCACAGCUGCAGAUUUGGGAUCUGUGAUCCGGACAGACCUACUAUCAGACUGCUCUGUCAUCUCCACCUCCCUGGAGGACAAGCAGCAGGUAAAAGAAUUGAAUAGUGGCCUGUAGUGGUGGUGGUGGUGGUGGCACACGCCAUAAUCCCAGCAUCUCGGGAGGCUGAGUCAGGAGGAUCACCAGUUCAAAGGAAUCCUCAGCAAUUUAGCAAAGCCCUAAGCAACUCAUUGAGACCCUGUAUCUAAAUAAAAUACAAAAAAAGGGUUGGGGAUGUGGCUCAGUGGUUAAGUGCCCCUGGAUUCAAUCCCCAGUACCAAAAAGCAAACACAUAAAGAAUUGGAUAGUGGCUUGGGGGCAGAAAAUUAUAUUCUCAGCCUAUAAUCCUCCAUACAGGAUAGUUUAAUGUCAACAACCAGUAAUCCCUAAGGUCUGAGACAUCAAUUUAAACUAAGGGCAUGACAAGUAAAAAAUGUAGAGUUGUAUGCCCAUAAGAAUAACUACUAUUUAGAGCACUCGCCUGGCAUGCGUGCGGCCCGGGUUCGAUCCUCAGCACCACAUACAAACAAAGAUGUUGUGUCCGCCGAAAACUAAAAAAUAAAUAUUAAAAUUCUCUCUUUCUCUCUUAAAAAAAAAAAAGAAUAACUACUAUUUGCAUUGCAUUAAUGAAAUGAAGUGCAUAACUCUUAGGUAAUCUCUGAGACAAGGAUAAAUGAAUGUAUCUGUCCAUUUUGAGACCCAGUUAUGUUAAAUGAUUUGUAUAGGCUGGAGUGGGUAGCUCAGUAAGUGGAACCCAUGCUUAACAUAUAAGACCCUGGAUUCAAACCCCCACUCACCCCCCACGAUUAUUGGCACAUGGUGACAUUACAUAAGUAGAAUGUACAUUCAGGUUUUAAUAAUAUCAACCAUUGCUUCCAUUUUUUUAGCCUUUCUUGCUGCAAAGCUGGGGUUUUUCAGCUACAGCAUUUCUGACAUUUGGAGGCUGGAUUCCUUAUUGUAAGGAGCUGUCCUGUGCAUUGUAAAUGUUGAGCAUCAUUCCUGGCCUCUGCCCACUAGAUGUCAGUAAUGCCUUCCCACUUUAACAACCUAGUGUUCUUUGAGGGGAAAUAAUGGCCCUGGUUAAAAACUGUUGUGCUAGGCCUUAUGCUAAAUGUUAACAUAUGUCAUCACAUUGUUUUUUUCCCCUCUCUUAGGAACUAACAAAGUUUUUAUGGAAGCAAAAUCCUUGAUAACAUCCCUCAUUAGGAACUACUGGAGCCUUUAACAUCCCUCAUUAGGAGCUAUUGGAGCCUUUUAGAGUUCCUGGGCCAUAGUAGGCAUUCUCUAUUUGUUGAAUGAAUGAUGUUGGUGCUAUUAUUAACCUCACUAUGCAGAUGAGGAAACUGAGGCAAAGAGAAUUUAAAGAACUUGUUCAAGAGCUCAUAAUUAUUAAAUAAUGGAAUUGGUACUCAAAUUUAGGUGUGUCUAUGUCCAAGGUGCUCUAACUACUUUACUCUGCUAUUGUAUCAUAUGCUGAUUUUCAUACCACGCAACCAAUUCUAACUCAGAUAAUUGGUGUGGCAAGCCAGGUUUGCAGGGUACUGAUGAGAGAGAGAGGGUGACAAAGGAGUAAAAAAGGUCAUGUGGGUUAGAAUGAUUGUAGAACCAAAGAGUAGUUGCACAGAGACGUUUGAGAUGGAAUGGGCUUGUGUUAACCUGAUUCUUAGGAACUGUGCUAUUUGCCCAUUUGUUCAGAGGUAACUUCCAAAAUUAAUAUGUGAUUCUGGGCUGGAAUUCUACCACAGGUUCCAUGUGAAGACAGUACAGAGAAGGUGAAAGUAUACCUGAGGGUCAGGCCCUUGUUACCUUCCGAGUUGGAACGACAGGAGGAUCAGGUGAGUGUUUGAGGAGGAGGCUUUAAAGUGGAAUGAUACAGUAAAGAAGAGAUUCUCCAGCAACAUUUCCUUCUAUAAAAACUGUAUUUCCCCCUUCUCAGGGCUGUGUUCGAAUUGAGAAUAUGGAGACCCUUGUUCUGCAAGCACCCAAGGACUCCUUUGCCUUGAAAAGCAACGAGCGGGGAAUUGGCCAAGCUACCCACAAGUUCACCUUUUCCCAGGUAUGGAUAUACUAGUCUUUAACCAAGGAAUCAGCAUGCAGGGAUUUUAAUCAGUGGGAGAAACAGGACUAGGAUUUAGAUUUAUCCAUCUCCAAAGCCCUUGCUUGUGACCAUUAUAUUACCCAAUGGUGUGUGCAAAUCAGGCUUGGUGCAUAGCAUUCUUUAAGUAUUUCUUGAUUUGGAUGAAAGAUGGACUAAUAGAGAGUAGUUGAGUCCUCAGUGAUUAGGAAUAGUUGACAGCAAGGCAGAAAGAACCUUCUGUAAUGGGAGCCAGAGCCAAUCACCCAGGAAGGGUGGCUUGCAUAGAAUGCUGGCUCUGCAUAGAAUGCUGGCUCUGCAUAGAAUACAAGUGGGAGAUGAAGAAUGGACCUCUGAGUUACUGGGUCUGUCUCCAGAUCUUUGGGCCAGAAGUGGGACAGUCAUCCUUCUUCAACCUGACUGUGAAGGAGAUGGUAAAGGAUGUACUCAAAGGGCAGAACUGGCUUAUCUAUACAUAUGGAGUCACCAACUCAGGGAAAACUCACACGAUUCAAGGUGAGUAGUAAGGCUUCACAGUAUUGCUGAUUGGCCUUUGAUGGUGGAUUGACCUGUAAUUACUUUUUGGUGCUCUGAAUCAGAGGGAGAAAGACACUUGCCUCAGCUGUCCAUCAUUCAUAUGCCUCUAGGUACCAUCAAAGAUGGAGGGAUCCUGCCUCGGUCAUUGGCUCUGAUAUUCAAUAGCCUCCAAGGCCAACUUCAUUCAACACCUGACCUGAAGCCCUCGCUCUCCAAUGAGGUAAUCUGGCUAGAUAGUAGGCAGAUUCGACAGGAAGAAAUGAAGAAGAUGUCCCUGCUCAGUGGAGGCUUUCAAGAGGUGAAGUGUUGGUAUACAUGAGGCAGGGGUAGGGGAUACAAAUCUCAGGAAAGCUUUGUGCUUACCUCCUCCCUGUGUCCCUUCAGGAGGAGCUAUCUACCUCUUUGAAGAGGAGUGUUUACAUUGAAAGUCGGAUGGGCACCACUACCAGCUUUGACAGUGGCAUUGCUGGGCUCUCUUCUACCAGUCAAUUUAUCAGCAGUAGCCAGCUGGAUGGUACGUAUCAUGAAUGUGCUCUUUGCCAAGUAAUAAGAGGAACCUACUCCCUCCUCCUAGCAGCUACCAGGGGAGCAGACCCAAGGUUACAACUUGAGCUCCACCUUCCAAUGGCCCCUGCAGUCCAGAGGUUAGAUGAAUUGCCCAAGAAUUGAUAGUCUAUACAUUGGCUUUCUCCUCAGAAACAAGUCACCAAUGGGCACAGCCAGACACUGCCCCAGUAAGCAUACCAGCAGACAUUCGCUUCUCCAUCUGGAUCUCCUUCUUUGAGAUCUACAAUGAGCUGCUUUAUGACCUGUUAGAACCACCUAGCCAGCAGCGGAAGAGGCAGACUCUGCGGCUAUGCGAGGAUCAAAAUGGCAAUCCCUAUGUGAAAGGUAUGUGAAUGUGGAGAAAAGCCAGGCAGAAACCCUGGAGGGGGUUGAAUAUUACCAUCUUACACCUUUCUCUCCUCUGGCCCCAGAUCUCAACUGGAUUCAUGUUCAAGAUGCUGAGGAAGCCUGGAGACUCCUAAAAGUGGGACGUAAGAACCAGAGCUUUGCCAGUACACACCUGAACCAGAACUCUAGCCGUAGGUGAGUGAAUUUUGAGAAUAAACCCUUGACUAUAUCUAGGAAACAUUAGUCUUCCACCUGGUCAGGAAAGAUAUUCAAUGAUUUUCCUCUUUUUCUUAACUUUCAGUCAUAGCAUCUUCUCAAUCCGGAUCUUGCACCUUCAGGGAGAAGGGGAUAUAAUUCCCAAGAUCAGCGAGUAAGUUUUUCCACUUAGAAAUUCGAUCUUGCCAUAUGUGGGUGCACAUCUCUUAUCACAGCUACUCAGGAAGCUGAGGCAGGAGCAUCACAAGUUGAAAGGCAGUUUAGGCCACUUGGAAAGGGGAUGUAGCUCAGUGAUGGAGCACUUGGCUAGCAUGCAUGAGGCUCUGGGUUCAAUUCCAUUAUUAAGAAAAAAAGAAAGGAAGAAAAGAAAGUUUGAUUUUCUUGAUCACUUAGUCAUUGUGGGAACAGAGGGAGGUCCUCAGAAUUACUUGUUCUUACUUGGGUACAGAGAUUCUUGGUAGGCCCUCUCCUCUCCAAAACAAUAUGAUGGGCCAUAAACUUACAUUAUAUGAAGUCCUUAUGCCUGAUCCUGUGCAUCAUUUUAGGCUUUCACUCUGUGAUCUGGCUGGUUCAGAGCGCUGCAAAGAUCAAAAGAGUGGUGAACGGCUAAAGGAAGCAGGAAACAUUAACACUUCUCUGCACACCCUGGGCCGCUGUAUUGCUGCUCUGCGCCAAAACCAACAGAACCGGUGAGCUUUUGACUGUAAACUUGGGCUGGGAUGGCCUAGGACUCUGAAUUUACCAAGACUUCCUGGUCACGACUGGGGAUAGCCUUAGGAUACCUAAGGAUUAGAGUUCUUAUUCACAGAUUUAUUACCUCUGGUUCUUUGCUAGGUCAAAGCAGAACCUGGUUCCUUUCCGUGAUAGCAAAUUGACCCGAGUGUUCCAAGGCUUCUUCACAGGCCGAGGCCGAUCCUGCAUGAUUGUCAAUGUGAAUCCUUGUGCUUCUACCUAUGAUGAGACUCUUCACGUGGCCAAGUUUUCAGCCAUUGCCAGCCAGGUGAGAAGCUGUAGGUGUAUUGAUUGUGCCUACCUUAGGCUGCUAACUUUAUAGAAAUUUACCAGUGAACAGUUAAGGAGUUUAUAAUUAAGGUUUUUUUCCCCCACCUUUAGCUUGUGCAUGCCCCACCUGUGCAACUAGGACUCCCAUCACUGCAUUCAUUCAUCAAGGAACAGAGUAUUCAGGCAUCCCCUGGUUUAGAAAAAGGGAGUAAGGCAGACCCAGGCCUUGACAACCACGCUGAAAAUGAAGUUGACAUCUCCAUGUACAGCAAGGAGGUGAGAAUACAAAAAAGCUUUGGUGCAGCAGCUUAAUGGCUAUACAUUUUCCACGUAGUCUUGGGCCUUUUGGGGUUAUGGGCAUACAUUUGACAAGUAUGUUCCUUUUAGGAGCUCCUACAGGUGGUGGAAGCCUUGAAAACUCUGCUUUUGAAAGAACGACAGGAAAAGUUGCACCUGGAGAUGCAACUCCGUGAUGAAAUUUGCAAUGAGAUGGUAGAACAAAUGCAACAACGGGAACAGUGGUGCAGGUACUGGCAUAGUGAUCCCUCUUACUGUCAAGUGGGACAGGGAAUGGAUCAUCCUCCAAGUUUACCCCUCAAAAUCUUCACUCACGGGCUGGGGUUGUGGCUCAGUAGUAGAGUGCUUACCUUGCACACGUGAGGCACUGGGUUCGAUCCUCAGCACCACAUGAAAAUAAAGAUAUUAAAAAAAAAAAUCUUCACUCACUUCUUUUUUCUCCUCUGACAGUGAGCAUUUGGACACCCAAAAGGAACUAAUGGAGGAAAUGUAUGAAGAGAAACUAAAGAUUCUCAAGGAGUCACUCACAAGUUUUUACCACGAAGAGAUUCAGGUAAGUUACCCUGAACCAACCCCAAUUAGCUACUCAGAUUUCUAUCACUAAUUUGCCUGAGGUUAACAGACUUUAUAAACUCUGGUAAGAGCAAGCAUUUAUAAUAUAUAGAACUCCUUUUCUGUAUUCCCUUUAGGUGCUUUGUACAUGUUUAAUGUAUGUUUAGUGAAUUAAGGGGUUUAGUUGGGCAGGAAUUAAUAGAAGUGCUAGCAAAUAGGUUUUUGAAGUAUUGGGAAAGUUUUUGUUCAUUGUUUGUCAUCUGUUUCAUCCAAUAUUUGUCUGACCCUUAACAGAAUUGUGCUCUCUACUUCCCUCUUAGGAACGGGAUGAAAAAAUUGAAGAACUAGAAGCUCUCUUGCAGGAAACCAGACAGCAAUCUGAGGCCCAUCAACAGUCAGGGUCUAAAUUAUCCAUGCGGCAGUCAAAAAGGUUGGCAGCUUCUGCCUCCACUCAGCAGCUCCAGGAGGUUAAUGCUGAACUACAACAGUGUAAAGCAGAGCUAAACUCUACCACUAAAGGUGAGGAAGGAGAGAAGGCAGGAAGCAUUAGUGAUUCAGGGAAAAGGUGGUAUUCAAAACUGGGCUUUCUGAUUCUAAUUUCAACAUAAUUUCCUCAACUCCAAGCUGCAGAAAAGGUCCCCCAGACCUUUCACUCUAGGCUCUAUGUGGCCUCACCUUUUAUAUUUACUGUAAGCUACUGUUAACUACGUUAAAAAGAGGUAGGUCUAAAACUAGAAAAUCUAUGUGUUCAAGUUUCCUUGUUCUUUCCCUCAGAGCUGCAGAAGUAUCAGAGAAUGUUAGAACCACCACCCUCAGCAAAGCCCUUUACCAGUGACGUGGACAAGAAAUUAGAGGAGGGCCAGAAGGUAAUCUUUCUGUUACAAAAGCUGUUACCUAAGGCAGUUUCUGAUUCAUGAGGACAAGGGGUUCUUUUGUGCAGGGUUCUGGGGAAUGGCGUUUUCAUUCAGCUGACCAGACUUUCUAAUUUUACUUCUCUUCAAAUGGUGACCCAACCCCUCCACAUCAUUACCGGGUUGAUCUUGGUAUAAUCUGAUCCUACUCCUUUUUUUAGAAUAUAAGAUUACUGCGGUCAGAGCUUCAGAAACUUGGUGAGUCUCUCCAGUCAGCAGAAAGGGCCUGCUGCCACAGCACUGGGGCAGGAAAACUUCGUCAAGCUUUGACCACUUGUGAUGACAUCUUAAUCAAACAGGUUAGAGCAGCCUAAAUACCCCCUCUUCUCUUACUAGCCCAUUCCAGUAUAUAUGUGAAAAAGGGUAUCAGGAACAUAAGAGAAAAAGAUUUUUAGGAUAAACUUAAGAGUAAGGAGGAAUUUCUCUUCCUUGCUAAAUAAGAAAUGAUUCUUUGUGAAGCAUUUACUAAGUACUAAUAAGUACUGUGGUAAUGUAUGUGCACCUUGUCGUAACAACCAUAGGGAGGCAUAUACUGUCAUAUUUCAUCUAAGAUGCCACUGGUAUCAUGUUAUAUAUUAUUAUUUUUUUAAUAUUUAUUUUUUUAGUUUUAGGCGGACACAAUAUCUUUAUUUUUAUGUGGUGUUGAGGAUCGAACCCAGCGCCCCGCGCAUGCCAGGCGAGUGCGCUACUGCUUGAGCCACAUCCCCAGCCCAUCAUGUUAUAUAUUAUUAAGAAAAAAACUAACAAGCUGUGAAAACUAACAAACUGAUUUUUUUUUUUUUAAUUAUGAGGCUGGGGAUGGAACCAGGGCUUAUCAUUUGAUAAGCAUUCUACCACUGACAUAUAACCCCAGCCCAGGCUAUGACAUUUCUCAUCCAUAAAAUACAUUCUAAUCCCAGAGAUCUUAAAAUGUUUAAGAAAAAUGUGCAUCUUAGACUAAGCAUACCUUUUUCUUUUUUCAGUGGUAGUAAGGGAUUCAAUAUGGGGCAUCACACUUGCUAGGCAUGUGCUCUGCAGCCCUUUUUAUUUAUUUUAUUUAUUUAUUUCUGUUACCGGGGAUUGAACCCAAGGACACUCAAUCUAAAACUUAUUUAGAGACAGGGUCUCACUGAGUUUCUUAGGACCUUGCUAAGUUGCCGAACCUGGCUUUGAACUGGUGAUUCUCCUAUGUCAGCCUCCCAGCUGCUGGGAUUAUAGGCGUGUGCUCUUUUUAUUAUUUUUGAGACAGGGACCUACAAGUUGUCCAGGCUACCUUUGAACUUUUGAUCUUAAGUUUCCUGAAUAGUGGGAUUACAGGUGUUAUGCACAAAAUUUUGUGUCUAGGGACUGAGGCUCUUGGAAGUUAAAUAAACUUGUUUAAGCUGAUGCCACUUUGUGUUAAAAAAUGUCCUGUUCAGCACUGCUUGUGCUUGGGUCUUAAAAUUAUAUAUCCUCUAUUCAGUUAUAAGCUCUAACCUUAAAGAGUUUAUCUUUGAAGAAAUAGUUACUAGUUACUAAUAAUGGAUAGCAUGUAUUACCUUGCCACCUUGUUUUUCUAAAUAUACCAUACAAAGAUGAAUUUUUUCUAACUUUAUUGAUAUUCCCUAGGACCAGACACUAGCUGAACUGCAGAACAACAUGAUGCUAGUGAAACUGGACCUUCAGAAGAAGGCAACAUGCAUUGCUGAGCAGUAUCAUACUGUGCAAAAGCUUCAAGGCCAGGCUGCUUCUGCCAAAAAGCGCCUUGGUACCAACCAGGAAAACCAGCAACCAAACCAGCAACCUCCAGGGAAAAAACCAUUCCUUCGAAACUUACUUCCCCGGACACCUACCUGCCAAAGCUCAACAGACUGUAGCCCUUAUGCCCGGAUCUUGCGCUCAAGGCGCUCUCCUUUACUCAAAUCUGGGCCUUUUGGCAAAAAAUACUAAGACUGGGGAGGAAGAACACAGUCAUCUCCCUAUGUGGGUCAGCUGCUCAGCUUAAUAAACAGACCUGUUUUCAGCUUUACCAUAUACCUGGAACUGUAUGCGGCAUACAAUACUCAUAUACUAGUUCCCCACACCUUUUGUAUUAUAAUCACUUUUGUAAUCUCAUGUUUUUUCACUCAUAUGGUUUCUAUGCACACAAAAAAGUUAUAUUAAAUAAAGAUUAUUGUUCACAUUUUUUAUUCAAAUAUCAAA